GAUUGAACGCUGGCGGCAGGCCUAACACAUGCAAGUCGAACGGUAACAGGAAGAAGCUUGCUUCUUUGCUGGCGAGUGGCGGACGGGUGAGUAAUGUCUGGGAAACUGCCUGAUGGAGGGGGAUAACUACUGGAAACGGUAGCUAAUACCGCAUAACGUCGCAAGACCAAAGAGGGGGACCUUCGGGCCUCUUGCCAUCGGAUGUGCCCAGAUGGGAUUAGCUAGUAGGUGGGGUAACGGCUCACCUAGGCGACGAUCCCUAGCUGGUCUGAGAGGAUGACCAGCCACACUGGAACUGAGACACGGUCCAGACUCCUACGGGAGGCAGCAGUGGGGAAUAUUGCACAGUGGGCGCAAGCCUGAUGCAGCCAUGCCGCGUGUAUGAAGAAGGCCUUCGGGUUGUAAAGUACUUUCAGCGGGGAGGAAGGGAGUAAAGUUAAUACCUUUGCUCAUUGACGUUACCCGCAGAAGAAGCACCGGCUA
rnacentral:rRNA from 1 species